AAAAAGAUCUUGAGGAAAACAUGAUCACUUACAACAAAUUCCAAAUCCUUCCUCCGAUUGUCUGCGUAGUCUUUUAUUGACUCUGAGUGGUGAUGAGAUUCUUGCAGAUGAUGGAAAUCUUGUCUAUCGUCUCUUAAAUGAGAUUUGUUCUAGGAAGACAUUCGUUUCUAACUUUAUCCCGACAAGUAGGGGAUCAACAUGACCUACCAUAUAGGGUUUUAUAUGGAACCAUACCAAUACUGGAGUUAUAGUUAUUGUUGUAAGCAAAUUCUAGUAAGGGUAAAUGCUGGUCCCAACUACUGCUGAAAUACAGUAUAAAGGCUCGUAGCAUGUUCUCCAGCGUAUGAGUGGUUCUUC
rnacentral:lncRNA from 1 species